CCUACGGGAGGCAGCAGUAGGGAAUCUUUCACAAUGGGCGAAAGCCUGAUGGAGCAACGCCGCGUGCAGGAUGAAGGCCUUCGGGUUGUAAACUGCUUUUAUAAGCGAGCAAUAUGAUGGUAACUUAUGAAUAAGGAUCGGCUAACUACGUGCCAGCAGCCGCGGUCAUACGUAGGAUCCGAGCAUUAUCCGGAGUGACUGGGUGUAAAGAGUUGCGUAGGUGGCAUAAUAAGUAGCUAGUGAAAUCUGGUGGCUCAACCAUUCAGACUAUUAGCUAAACUGUUAAGCUCGAGACCGUUAGGGGUAACUGGAAUGUCUGGUGUAGGAGUGAAAUCCGUAGAUAUUAGAAGGAACACCAAUAGCGUAGGCAGGUUGCUGGGACGGUUCUGACACUAAGGCACGAAAGCGUAGGGAGCAAACGGGAUUAGAUACCCCGGUAGUC
rnacentral:rRNA from 1 species